AGGAGUGAACCUUCACCUCUCACUUCCUGUAAGGCCUAGUCUGAAAAGGAAAGCAUGGCAUGGUGGAGAUACUCUGUAUUCUCCUGGAUGGAUUCUCCUGGAUUAAAGAUGGGCCGCUGUCAAAGCACCUGACCAAGACUGACAACUGGUGAAUGGAAAACCGGAAUAAGCACUUGGAAGAAGAAAACCGACAACAGAGACAACUUGCCUUUGAUUUGCCUGGCAUAAUGGAUACUUUGAAAACCACAAGAGCGCAGCUAAUAGUACUGAAGAAUGGUGGUGGAAGUUCAUCCUGUGUGGGUGUAUCGUGUGCAUCACCUUCUGUCCCAUCUG